rnacentral:ncRNA from 1 species
UAAUUCGACUAGGGGAGCAUGAAAAUGCUGAGAGAGAUAUGAUCGACCCUUUGAACCUGAUCUAGGUAACACUAGCGUAGGGAAGUGGAACUGGAACUGG